rnacentral:lncRNA from 1 species
UAGAAGUAAUGACUAUAUUUUAAUUAUUUUGUUGCAUUCAAUUUGAACAUGCGACAUGGGUUAUAUUUAUACUUUUUGCCUAUUGGUGAUGACCAACUUGGAUGACCCACUUCGAGGUCACCCAAACAACCUAGGCAUAACUGAUUCAAAAAUAUCUUUAAAACAAUAAAUACAUCACUGUAUGAAAACAUGAACACUUCUAUUUUCUGAAACAACUAUUUAGAGAACACCUUUACUGAUAGCUAGAGGCUAUGUGGAUGAGAAAAUUAUACCAGCGGGGUGGAGAGCUCCAUGAUGAAACAAAAAUAAG